UACGUAGGGGGCUAGCGUUGUCCGGAAUCAUUGGGCGUAAAGAGCGUGUAGGCGGCCCGGUAAGUCCGCUGUAAAAGUCAAAGGCUCAACCUUUGAAUGUCAGUGGAUACUGCCGGGCUAGAGUCCGGAAGAGGCGAGUGGAACUCCUGGUGUAGCGGUGGAAUGCGCAGAUAUCAGGAAGAACACCAACGGCGAAGGCAGCUCGCUGGGACGGUACUGACGCUGAGACGCGAGAGCGUGGGGAGCGAACAGG
rnacentral:rRNA from 1 species